rnacentral:rRNA from 1 species
GUGUCAGCCGCCGCGGUAAUACGAAGGGGGCUAGCGUUGUUCGGAAUUACUGGGCGUAAAGGGCGCGUAGGCGGCUGUGCAAGUCAGAUGUGAAAGCCCUGGGCUCAACCCAGGAUGUGCAUUUGAUACUGCACGGCUAGAGUGUCGGAGAGGAUGGUGGAAUUCCCAGUGUAGAGGUGAAAUUCGUAGAUAUUGGGAAGAACACCGGUGGCGAAGGCGACCAUCUGGACGACAACUGACGCUGAGGCGCGAAAGCGUGGGGAGCAAACAGGAUUAGAUACCCUGGUAGUCCACGCCGUAAACUAUGCGUGUUGGACGUUGGCGAGCCUAGCUCGUCGGUGUCGCAGCUAACGCGUUAAACACGCCGCCUGGGGAGUACGGCCGCAAGGUUAAA